GACGAACGCUGGCGGCGUGCCUAAUACAUGCAAGUUGAGCGCUGAAGGUUGGUACUUGUACCAACUGGAUGAGCAGCGCACGGGUGAGUAACGCGUGGGGAAUCUGCCUUUGAGCGGGGGACAACAUUUGGAAACGAAUGCUAAUACCGCAUAAAAACUUUAAACACAAGUUUUAAGUUUGAAAGAUGCAAUUGCAUCACUCAAAGAUGAUCCCGCGUUGUAUUAGCUAGUUGGUGAGGUAAAGGCUCACCAAGGCGAUGAUACAUAGCCGACCUGAGAGGGUGAUCGGCCACAUUGGGACUGAGACACGGCCCAAACUCCUACGGGAGGCAGCAGUAGGGAAUCUUCGGCAAUGGACGAAAGGCUGACCGAGCAACGCCGCGGGAGUGAAGAAGGUUGUCGGAUCGUAAAACUCGGUUGGUAGAGAAGAACGUUGGUGAGAGUGGAAAGCUCAUCAAGUGACGGUAACUACACAGAAAGGGACGGCUAACUACGUG
rnacentral:rRNA from 1 species